UCUCCUCCUUUUUCCUUUCCUUCCCCCUCUUUCCUUUCUCAUAUCUCCUGUUGCUCCUGCCUUUGGAGGCCGGUCUCACCUCUUCCCUUUCCCGUAUUUUUUUAUGCUCCCUCGUGCCCCCCUCCAAAAAAAAAAAAAAAACCCAACCCUCUGCUUGAACCCUGUCGAAUGGCAUCUUUCUCUCAAACACUGCUUUUCUUUCAUUACAACACUCCCUUUCACCUCAGCUGCUGCCAAGAACCUGUCCACACAGUGGACAUGCAGGACACUGGGGCGUUGAUUACCCAGCUUUGCCUAGACAAGGUAUGCUGGUCCCCUUAGGUUCCUGCUCCACGGGAAAGUCUUGUCAAAUCCUCUGGGCCAGGCUGCUGCAGACUGAUGCCGCUCUGGGACCUCUCUCCCAAGGACCAUGGAGGGACCUGGGGUAGCUUUCCAGGUAGCCAGCUUCAUAGUAAAGGACAAACGGAUUUCCGACGUGACUUUCCACUGAAGAAACACAGAAAAUGAUUUCGGAUGUAUAAAUGCAACCUGUAAAGCAACCUGCCUUCUCUGCUCCCUCCAGGAACGGAUUCCUGAGGUCUCCAGGGCGGUGAUUAACUGAAUGCUUCUUCACCCAUACCUCCCGCUGAGCAC